UUUAGGGUUUUAUAACUCUUCCCCGUACACUUCUCAACUUGUCUCCCUCUCUUUCUUUCCUCUCAAUCCUUUUUCAACUCCCCCAUAACCCUACCUCUCUUUUCCUUAAGUCUGUUAUAAUCCCUCGCUAACCCUCCCUUAGUUCGAGUGUGAAUUCCUCAUUUUCGUUGGUUAGUUUGCUUUAUCUUCACCGUUUUCAUCUUUCACCGAUUUGGUCUUCACCAUUUUCUUCUUUCAUUGUUUUUAUCUCCACCGUUUUUGUCUUUACCUUUUUUGUCUUUAUCGUUUCGGAGGUUGGUAUCAUAUUUCCAUUUUUUCAACUUUGGUUUUUGUCGUCCCCCAUCGUUUUUGGGUUUCGUUGACUGGCUUCAUUUUCUCCACUUGAGACCUCUGAAACCCUUACCUGGACGAACUUGGGUUCGUUGCAUGGCUGGUUUUCUAAGCUUGUUGCUCAGGCUUCUCAUUCACACUCAAACUUCCCCUUGCCAGUCAAACUUCCCCUUGUCAAUUAGGGUUCCUCUUUACUGACAAUUGAGAGAUGCUACAUUCGUUCGACAGUGGAAUGUUUCGAGCAAGGUAGUGAUGAAGUAUGACUAGUACGUCAAGGGCCCCGAAACAUCUGUAGAAUAAGGAGGUCUUGGUGAACGUGGGAGGCUGGAGGUCAGACAAUGGAACGUUCAAACCCAUACCUAGCACAAUUGGUUAGAAUGAUGGUGGACAAGAUGCCAUGAUGCAUUGUCAAAACAACCACUUGUUACAGAAAGUCGGAUAAAGUCUUUGAAGAGAACAAUCUAGGAAAUUGCUUAAAUACAAGGCUUAGCAUGUAAUGGGUUUGAAUGGAAUGACGAUGCUAUGUGUAUAAUUGCUAAGAAGGACGAGUUUGACAGUUGGGUCAAGGUAGGGAAAUAAGUAUACGUGAACCACUAUUCGCUUCUAAUGGUAUUGAAAGCUGACAAUUAUUUUUUAUUCCAUUCACAAACCCAUCUUGCAACGAAGGGCUCCUAAACAAGCAUUUCCCCAAUUACAACGAAUUAUCGUAUAUGUUCAGGAAAGAUUGUGUAACGAGGGCACGUGUAGAGACAUUCAUCGAUGUUGGGUCCAAUAAAUCGGGUGAGUACGAGGGAUUUCCACAUGAAGAUGGAAUCGAUAUGGAGAUUCCUACUAUGUACAGCCAAGGCCUGAACAUGUUGCCUGAGGACGUAAUGGACGCACGACAUGGUCGAUCAAGUGACUGUAAACUGGGUUCGAGUGGAUCAAAGAGGAAGUGGGGAGGACAAAAUAUGGACAUUGUGGACGUCAUUCGCGAUGUCAAUGGAAUUUUCAAAUUACCCGCUGAGGGCCAUUGCGGAUUGGCAGAAGUUAGUUAUGCAGGAUGAAAGCGCAACCCAUGGAAAAUUCAUUCGACAGUUGCAAGCUAUCCCAAGGCUGAGUAGAUUGGACAAGGCGUGCUGUAUGCGAAUAAUGGCAGGCUACUUUUUCGACAUGAAAGCAUUUUUUAACGUACUCGAGGACAUGAAGAUGGACUACUGAACGAUCAUUCUACAAGAUAACUCAUGACAAUUAGUCAAAUUCCAUCACUUGACCCGUGUUUUUUUUUUUUUUUUGCUUAUGCAUUAUGUUCUCUAUAUUUGACUUCAGUUUAUAACUCCCUUGCACCAAAUAUUUUUGCACCAAAUAUUUUGCGCAACGAUAUCGUUUGGUUUAACUGAUUUUUUUUUCUAGUACAUUGUAUAAAAUAAUUGUUAUU